AAAAUACUCCCUCCGUACGGAAAUACUUGUCGUAGAAAUGGAUAAUGAUGGAUGUAUCUAGAACUAAAACACAUCUAGAUACAUCCAUUUAUGUAACAAGUAUUUCCGGACGGAGGGAGUAGUUU
rfam:Triticum aestivum genome assembly, contig: Triticum_aestivum_CS42_TGACv1_scaffold_159868_2DL